rnacentral:rRNA from 1 species
AUUGAACGCUGGCGGCAGGCCUAACACAUGCAAGUCGAACGAGUGGCGGACGGGUGUGUAAUGUCUGAGACACUGCCUGGUGGAGGGGUAUCACUACUGGAAACUGUAUCUAAUACCACAUCCCCUCAGAUGUGCCCAGAUGGGAUUAGCUAGUGGGUGGGGUAACGGCUCACCAAGGCGACGACCCCUAGCUGGUCUGAGAGGAUGACCAGCCACACUGGAACUGAGACACGGUCCAGACUCCUACGGGAGGCAGCAGUGGGGAAUAUUGCACAAUGGGCGCAAGCCUGAUGCAGCCAUGCCGCGUGUAUGAAGAAGGCCUUCGGGUUGUAAAGUACUUUCAGCGGGGAGGCGUUACCCGCAGAAGAAGCACCGGCUAACUCCGUGCCAGCAGCCGCGGUAAUUC